AUCGAUACCCCGCGAUAAAUUUCACUUUAAUUUAAAAUUUAUAUACCUCCAUCUCAAGAAUUAAUUUCAAAAUAUUUCUCUAAAAAAUAAAUAAAAAGUUAGGUCAAGGUGUAAUCUAUAUUAAAGGCUUAAAUGAAUUACAAUAAAAAUAAUUUAAAGAAUACAAAUUUAAAUAUUUAUAUAAAUUAGGAUUUAAAAGUAAUAUCACAAUAAUAUUAUAAUAUGAUUAAGAUAAUUAACGUGCACACAUCGCCC
rnacentral:rRNA from 1 species